CCUACGGGUGGCAGCAGUGGGAAAUAUUGCACAAUGGGGGAAACCCUGAUGCAGCGACGCCGCGUGAGUGAAGAAGUAUUUCGGUAUGUAAAGCUCUAUCAGCAGGGAAGAAAAUGACGGUACCUGACUAAGAAGCCCCGGCUAACUACGUGCCAGCAGCCGCGGUAAUACGUAGGGGGCAAGCGUUAUCCGGAUUUACUGGGUGUAAAGGGAGCGUAGACGGCCAGACAAGUCAGAAGUGAAAGCCCAGGGCUCAACCCUGGGACUGCUUUUGAAACUGCCGGGCUGGAGUGCAGGAGAGGUAAGCGGAAUUCCUAGUGUAGCGGUGAAAUGCGUAGAUAUAUGGAAGAACACCAGUGGCGAAAGCGGCUCUCUGGUCUGUAACUGACGCUGAGGUUCGAAAGCGUGGGUAGCAAACAGGAUUAGAUACCCGGGUAGUC
rnacentral:rRNA from 1 species